CAAACAUGCAAUGUGGUGGUUCU
rnacentral:siRNA from 1 species